GCUCAGGACGAACGCUGGCGGCGUGCUUAACACAUGCAAGUCGAACGGGAAGGCCCUGCUUUUGUGGGGUGCUCGAGUGGCGAACGGGUGAGUAACACGUGAGUAACCUGCCCUUGACUUUGGGAUAACUUCAGGAAACUGGGGCUAAUACCGGAUAGGAGCUCCUGCUGCAUGGUGGGGGUUGGAAAGUUUCGGCGGUUGGGGAUGGACUCGCGGCUUAUCAGCUUGUUGGUGGGGUAGUGGCUUACCAAGGCUUUGACGGGUAGCCGGCCUGAGAGGGUGACCGGCCACAUUGGGACUGAGAUACGGCCCAGACUCCUACGGGAGGCAGCAGUGGGGAAUAUUGCACAAUGGGCGGAAGCCUGAUGCAGCAACGCCGCGUGCGGGAUGACGGCCUUCGGGUUGUAAACCGCUUUCGCCUGUGACGAAGCGUGAGUGACGGUAAUGGGUAAAGAAGCACCGGCUAACUACGUGCCAGCAGCCGCGGUGAUACGUAGGGUGCGAGCGUUGUCCGGAUUUAUUGGGCGUAAAGGGCUCGUAGGUGGUUGAUCGCGUCGGAAGUGUAAUCUUGGGACUUAACCCUGAGCGUGCUUUCGAUACGGGUUGACUUGAGGAAGGUAGGGGAGAAUGGAAUUCCUGGUGGAGCGGUGGAAUGCGCAGAUAUCAGGAGGAACACCAGUGGCGAAGGCGGUUCUCUGGGCCUUUCCUGACGCUGAGGAGCGAAAGCGUGGGGAGCGAACAGGCUUAGAUACCCUGGUAGUCCACGCUGUAAACGGUGGGUACUAGGUGUGGGGUCCAUUCCACGGGUUCCGUGCCGUAGCUAACGCUUUAAGUACCCCGCCUGGGGAGUACGGCCGCAGGGCUAAAACUCAAAGGAAUUGACGGGGCCCCGCACAAGCGGCGGAGCAUGCGGAUUAAUUCGAUGCAACGCGUAGAACCUUACCUGGGUUUGACAUGGAUCGGGAGUGCUCAGAGAUGGGUGUGCCUCUUUUGGGGUCGGUUCACAGGUGGUGCAUGCCUGUCGUCAGCUCGUGUCGUGAGAUGUUGGGUUAAGUCCCGCAACGAGCGCAACCCUUGUUCACUGUUGCCAGCACGUUAUGGUGGGGACUCAGUGGAGACCGCCGGGGUCAACUCGGAGGAAGGUGGGGAUGACGUCAAGUCCUCAUGCCCCUUAUGUCCAGGGCUUCACGCAUGCUACAAUGGCUGGUACAGAGAGUGGCGAGCCUGUGAGGGUGAGCGAAUCUCGGAAAGCCGGUCUCAGUUCGGAUUGGGGUCUGCAACUCGACCUCAUGAAGUCGGAGUCGCUAGUAAUCGCAGAUCAGCAACGCUGCGGUGAAUACGUUCCCGGGGCUUGUACACACCGCCCGUCAAGUCAUGAAAGUUGGUAACACCCGAAGCCGGUGGCCUAACCGUUGUGGGGGAGCCGUCGAAGGUGGG
rnacentral:rRNA from 1 species